UAACGCGAAAGACCUUACCAGGUCUUGACAUCUUCUGACAGUCUAAGAGAUUAGAGGUUCCCUUCGGGGACAGAAUGACAGGUGGUGCAUGGUUGUCGUCAGCUCGUGUCGUGAGAUGUUGGGUUAAGUCCCGCAACGAGCGCAACCCUUAUUACUAGUUGCCAGCAUUAAGUUGGGCACUCUAGUGAGACUGCCGGUGACAAACCGGAGGAAGGUGGGGACGACGUCAAAUCAUCAUGCCCCUUAUGACCUGGGCUACACACGUGCUACAAUGGAUGGUACAACGAGUCGCGAGACCGCGAGGUUAAGCUAAUCUCUUAAAACCAUUCUCAGUUCGGACUGUAGGCUGCAACUCGCCUACACGAAGUCGGAAUCGCUAGUAAUCGCGGAUCAGCAUGCCGCGGUGAAUACGUUCCCGGGUCUUGUACACACCGAA
rnacentral:rRNA from 1 species